UACGGAGGGUGCGAGCGUUGUCCGGAAUCAUUGGGCGUAAAGGGCGCGUAGGUGGCCCCUCAAGCGUGCGGUGAAAGUCAGGGGCUCAACCCCUGAUCGGCCGUGGCGACUCGUGGGCUGGAGCACUGUAGAGGCGGGUGGAAUUCCGGGUGUAGCGGUGGAAUGCGUAGAGAUCCGGAAGAACACCAGUGGCGAAGGCGGCCCGCUGGGCAGUGGCUGACGCUGAGGCGCGACAGCGUGGGGAGCAAACAGG
rnacentral:rRNA from 1 species